rnacentral:misc_RNA from 1 species
GUCUAAUAUCAAUAAUUAUAGAUACAAAUAAGUAACAUUUGUUAAGAUAUAAUGGAAACGAGAAGUAUUUUUAUCGUGAAGUAUAUGCUAUACGUUUUUAAUGUGAUAUUUGGGAUCACGGGUGUGGCUUUAAUAAUAAUUGGCACUAUAGUUAUUGUAGAUUUGGGACGUUUUUCAAAUUAUUUAAGUGUUUCGAUUACAGCUCCACCAAUAUUAUUUAUUGUUUUGGGUAUAUUUAUUAUAGCUACAAGUAUAUUUGGAUUCUAUUGUAUCGAUAAAGAAAAUGUCAACUAUUUAAUUGUGUUUACCAUACUUUUAUUAUCAGUUUUGUUGAUGGAAGUAUUUUUAGCAAUUAUGUCAUCAAUAUCCAAAGACAAUUUUAAUAAUAAUUUAAGAUUUUCUUUAAAAACCUCAAUGGGAAAAUAUUCAUUUGAAGAAAAUGAUCGUCAAUCGUGGGCUGUAGUUCAACGAAAAUUAGAAUGUUGUGGAGUAGACACACCAAGAGAUUGGUCGAUUAUAUUUCCAGAAAACUUAGUUCCUGUAACAUGUUGCCAAAAUUUACCAAUUGAAGUAGGAGCGUUGUGCAGAAAUCUAUUUGAUGAUAGGAUUAUAUAUCAAAAAGGAUGCUAUAAUAUAUUAAACAGUCGAGUGAGAAAUAGGUUAACCAUUGUAAUGUACAUCGCAUUGGCAUUUGCUCUUCUGCAGUUUAUUGGUGUUGUGUUAUCUUGCUCUUAUACUUAUCUGCUGAAAAACAGUCAAGGAAGCAAGUAAGAUAAUUACCAUUUUUUUAAAUGAGAAGUUGUAAAAUUGGUGUACAUACACAUCAUUACAAGUUGUAUAUAAAACAAGUAGUGGAGCACACAAUAUACUACCAAGCAAAUGACACAAAAAUGAUGCAUUUAAUAAAAAUGAUUUUAAUUAUUUCUACGAGCAAAAUACAUAUUCACAAGAUACAUUGAGCCGCAGAGAACAAUUAAAGAAUUUAUUAGAUGCAUUAAAAAAACAAAAUAGAAAUAUUAACCGUUACUAGUAUUUAUUUCGAUGUUAUUGGAAACAUUUUAAAUUUUGUUCAACUAUUUUCAAUGGCGUGUACACAGGAUAAAAAUGUUUCCCAAGCAACAAUUCAACAUUUUGGGGCAGGUAUUAUUAGGAUUAGUAAGGGUUUAAGUUUAUUAAUAAUACAAGCGGUAUUUUAAAAAGUACCUUUUAUGUCUAUAGACGUGCGCCUAUUGCCUAAUUACUUGUGCAAAAUCAAUUUUUUAUACUCAAUUAUCUUCCAUAUAUUAAUUUUGUAUCGA